ACUAUUUUGGCAGAAGAGUGCCAUGAAUUUAGAAUUCAUAUAUGUAAUUAAUAUUACAAUUAGUA
rnacentral:tRNA from 1 species